GUGCCAGCCGCCGCGGUAAUACCGGCAGCCCGAGUGAUGGCCGAUCUUAUUGGGCCUAAAGCGUCCGUAGCUGGCUGCGCAAGUCCGUCGGGAAAUCCACCUGCCCAACAGGUGGGCGUCCGGCGGAAACUGUGUGGCUUGGAACCGGAAGGCUCAGAGGGUACGUCCGGGGUAGGAGUGAAAUCCCGUAAUCCCGGACGGACCGCCGAUGGGGAAACCACCUCAGGAGAACGGAUCCGACAGUGAGGGACGAAAGCCAGGGUCUCGAACCGGAUUAGAUACCCCGGUAGUCC
rnacentral:rRNA from 1 species